rfam:Felis catus isolate Cinnamon breed Abyssinian chromosome A1, whole genome shotgun sequence.
GCCUGGGUGGCUUGGUCGGUUAAGCGUCUGACUUCGGCUCAGGUCAUGAUCUCAGGGUCUGUGAGUUCGAGCCCCGCGUCGGGCU